rnacentral:rRNA from 1 species
UACGAAGGGGGCUAGCGUUGUUCGGAAUUACUGGGCGUAAAGCGCGUGUAGGCGGGCUCUUAAGUCAGGGGUGAAAUCCCGGGGCUCAACCUCGGAACUGCCUUUGAUACUGUGAGUCUCGAGACCGGAAGAGGUGAGUGGAAUUCCUAGUGUAGAGGUGAAAUUCGUAGAUAUUAGGAAGAACACCAGUGGCGAAGGCGGCUCACUGGUCCGGUUCUGACGCUGAGGUGCGAAAGCGUGGGGAGCAAACAGG